rnacentral:sRNA from 3 species
UCCGUAGCCAUUUUGGCU